rnacentral:rRNA from 1 species
GAUGAACGCUAGCGGCAGGCCUAAUACAUGCAAGUCGAACGGAUAUAUGUUUUUCGGAAUAUAUAUUAGUGGCGCACGGGUGAGUAACACGUACAUAACUUGCCCUCAAGCGGGGGAUAGCCUUGGGAAACUGAGAGUAAUACCCCAUAGAAUUAUUGGACGGCAUCGUUUGAUAAUUAAAACUACGGUGUUUGGGGAUAGAUGUGCGUCUGAUUAGCUAGUUGGUGAGGUAACUGCUCACCAAGGCGACGAUCAGUAGGGGGCGUGAGAGCGUGGCCCUCCACACGGGUACUGAGACACGGACCCGACUCCUACGGGAGGCAGCAGUAAGGAAUAUUGGACAAUGGGGGGAACCCUGAUCCAGCCAUGCCGCGUGAGGGAAGAAGGUCCUCUGGAUUGUAAACCUCUUUUGGCAGGAAACAAACCUGCGCUAUACGCGCAGCUGAGGGUACCUGCAGAAUAAGCACCGGCUAACUCCGUGCCAGCAGCCGCGGUAAAGUAGU